ACCAUUAUUAAUAUAAAACCACCUGCUAUAACCCAAUACCAAACACCCCUCUUCGUUUGACUAGCAACACUUCACGGGGGAAAUAUUAAAUGAUCUCCCGCUCUAAUAUGAGCCCUAGGCUUUAUCUUCCUAUUUACAGUAGGAGGCCUAACUGGCAUCGUCCUAGCUAACUCAUCCCUAGAUAUUGUUCUCCACGACACCUACUACGUAGUCGCCCACUUUCACUAUGUACUUCCAAUAGGAGCUGUCUUCGCCAUCAUAGGAGGUUUUGUUCACUGAUUCCCACUAUUUUCAGGCUAUACACUCAAUUCAACAUGAACAAAAAUUCACUUUAUAAUCAUAUUCGUAGGUGUAAACAUAACAUUCUUCCCACAACACUU